UACGUAGGGUGCAAGCGUUGUCCGGAAUUAUUGGGCGUAAAGAGCUCGUAGGCGGUUUGUCGUGUCUGCUGUGAAAACCCGAGGCUCAACCUCGGGCCUGCAGUGGGUACGGGCAGACUAGAGUGCGGUAGGGGAGAUUGGAAUUCCUGGUGUAGCGGUGGAAUGCGCAGAUAUCAGGAAGAACACCCGUGGCUAAGGCGGCUCUCUAGUACGGUACUGACGCUGAGACGCGAAAGCGUGGGGAGCGAACAGG
rnacentral:rRNA from 1 species